rnacentral:rRNA from 1 species
UACGGGGGGAGCAAGCGUUGUUCGGAUUUACUGGGCGUAAAGGGCGCGUAGGCGGCGUGACAAGUCACUUGUGAAAUCUCCGGGCUUAACCCGGAGCGGCCAAGUGAUACUGUCGUGCUAGAGUGCGGAAGGGGCUACUGGAAUUCUCGGUGUAGCGGUGAAAUGCGUAGAUAUCGAGAGGAACACCAGUGGCGAAGGCGGCUCACUGGACCGGAACUGACGCUGAGGCGCGAAAGCGUGGGGAGCAAACAGG